AAUCCGUGUUGUGGGCACCUCCGCAAAUAAUCCUUGAAGCGCUCCUAUGUCUACAAUGACUCCAACUUCAUCUAUACAAACGAUGAUAUCUCAUUACGAAGCUU